GAUGAACGCUGGCGGCGUGCCUAAUACAUGCAAGUCGAGCGAACAGACGAGGAGCUUGCUCCUCUGACGUUAGCGGCGGACGGGUGAGUAACACGUGGAUAACCUACCUAUAAGACUGGGAUAACUUCGGGAAACCGGAGCUAAUACCGGAUAAUAUAUUGAACCGCAUGGUUCAAUAGUGAAAGCCGGUUUUGCUGUCACUUAUAGAUGGAUCCGCGCCGCAUUAGCUAGUUGGUAAGGUAACGGCUUACCAAGGCGACGAUGCGUAGCCGAACUGAGAGGGUGAUCGGCCACACUGGAACUGAGACACGGUCCAGACUCCUACGGGAGGCAGCAGUAGGGAAUCUUCCGCAAUGGGCGAAAGCCUGACGGAGCAACGCCGCGUGAGUGAUGAAGGUCUUCGGAUCGUAAAACUCUGUUAUUAGGGAAGAACAAAUGUGUAAGUAACUAUGCACGUCUUGACGGUACCUAAUCAGAAAGCCACGGCUAACUACGUG
rnacentral:rRNA from 1 species